rnacentral:lncRNA from 1 species
UCCUAAACUAAGUAUAAUGAUUAGAAGAAGAUGGUAAAAUCUUUUCAAUUAGUAAAUGUAUUAGAGUCAAGGUUUGAACGAUGUUUCGAGAUUAGUGGGAAGUAAGAAGAAGAGUUUGGAAAUAGAUAAAAAGGAGGUUUAAAUACUGAAGUAAUUAUCUAGAAGGUUUAAUAGGUUCGGAGGUCCCUGUAUUUGGGGUUUGUUUCAAUUGGGUCCUCCAAUUUUGGAAGUGAUCAAUUAGGUCCCUAAUUUUGUCAAUUUGAAUCAAUAAAAGCCUUUCCGUUAAAUGCAGUUAACGCCGUGAAGUUUUUGAACAUGUGACACACUGACGCUUCCAGGUAGCACCGUUUCAAGUGCAUAGGUGGAUUAUAAAAGGGUGAAAUCCCUAAAUUAAAAGGUGUAUUUGAAGG